UUUUUUUUUUUUUGUAAGAUCUCGCUCAACACAAUGGAGAGCCGGAUUCAGCCUCGCCUAUUUUUUGCGGGAGAGGUGAUGGUGAUUUUUUUUUUCUUUUUUCUCCUUUCCUGGUCAGAAAAUUUUAAUUAGAAUGAAUUUUAAUUGAUGCCAGGUAUUAAAUGUUGAUGGAGUAACGGGCGGUUUCAACUUCCAGGUAAAUCCUGUAGUAAUCCAUCUUACUUCAUUGAUUUGAGGAAAAUAUCCUUAGAACUUGAUAAUUUCCCAAUAUCCAGUGAUAUGUGAUCAUGAACACUAAUUUAUAUUACUAUCCCAGUUUUUUUUGGGUAAUAUGCAAUAAUCGUGAACAGUACUGAGAAAUGUGGUCAGGAACAGGAUUCUAUAAUCCGCCUCAUGAACAUUAUUAUUACAUAAUCUUAGAACCUUAUUACGUAACUUCCCAAUUUGGGCAUUACAGAUGAUCUUAAAACUGAUUUAAAAUUUCCUGAUUGGUGUAAUAUGCAAUUAAUUGAACACUAAUUAUUGUUUAAUCUUAGAACUCUUCACAAUUUCCAAAUCUGGAGUAAUAUGCCACCAUCUUUUUGCCACUGCAGAACGCUUGGUCUGGAGGGUACAUUGCAGGGACGAACAUCGGCCAGGCAUCAAUGGCAGCAGGUGGAUGACCUCAAAGGUAGAGAGAGAGAGAGAGAGAGAGAGAGAGAGAGAGAGAGAGAGAGAGAGAGAGAGAGACGUAGUAGUUNNNNNNNNNNNNNNNNNNNNNNNNNNNNNNNNNNNNNNNNNNNNNNNNNNNNNNNNNNNNNNNNNNNNNNNNNNNNNNNNNNNNNNNGAGAGAGAGAGAGAGCGUUGAGUUUUAUUAUUUUUUCCCUCUUUCUGGCAGCAGGUGGGCUUUCUGGACUGAAUUAUUUAUUGUUUUUCCCCUCUUUGGCUAAGGUUGACUUUUCCUCGGUUUCUGUGUUAAAAACGUUGCAUUUAUUGGACAUGGAAGAUACGACUUGAUGUGAAUCUUCUUGUGUUGUGUUGGAUGUGGAAGAAAUGGGCUAAAUGGGCUUCUCUCGUCGAUUGAAGGGGCCUCGCCCCCACGUCGGCGGAGGGUUAGAAAAACCAGGCUGGCGGAGCCGGCGGCGCCGCCGUGGCAAUGCGGGCGCCGGCGUGGGCGUGGCGGCGGUGCAUGCGGUUGGUGCAGUUGGCGCCUUGCCCCGACGUGCGGCGGCUCCGGGCGACCCACGCCGUCUUUGUGGCCCACGGUCUUCACCGGCACACCUACGCCCUCAGCCGCCUCAUCAUCCUUGCCACCGGCUCCGCCGAGGACGGCGGCGCCGUCGCCGCCGACGGCGACUUCCUCUCCUAUGCUGGUCUCCUCCUCCGACACGCGGAGGCGCCGCCCAACGCCUUCAUCUUCAACACCAUCAUCCGGGCCUACUCCCGCAGCCGCCACCCCGCCGACGCCCUCUUCUUCUUCCACCUCAUGCGGCAGCGGCACCACCACCUCCUGGCCCUCUCUGCCGAGGAGCAGGCGGCGGCGGUGGCGCCGGACCAUCUCACCUUCCCCUUUGUCCUCCACGGCUGCACCGCUGCGCAGUGCCCUUCGCCGGGGCUGCAGCUCCACGGCCACCUCUGCAGGAACGGGCUCGCCGCCGGCGACCACUUCGUGCAGACCGCUCUCCUCCGCUUCUACGUCACCUUCAUGGAGCUCCUCCCCGGCGGCGCCCACAGCCUGUUCGAUGAAAUCCCCCGCAGAGACGCCGUCCACUGGGACGUCCUCAUGAGCGGGUACCUACGCCGUGGGCUCCCCUCAGAGGCCCUGCAACUCUUCCGCCAGCUCCUUCUCUCCGGGGCGCGGCCCGACGAGGUCGCUCUCACCACCGCCCUCGCCGCCUGCGCCCGCACGGGGGCCCUCCGGGAGGGCCGCUGGAUCCACCGCUACCUCCGCGACAACGCCGGCGAGCUCCGCGCUGACGACGCCCACCUCUGUGCCGCGCUGGUCACCAUGUACGCCAAGUGCGGCAGCCUAGACGCCGCGCGGGAGGUGUUCGAGAAGGCGCCACGCCGGUGCCGGUUCCUCUGGUCCGCCCUCAUCGGCGGACUCGCCUUGCACGGGCUGGCGGAGGAGGCCGUCGGCUGCCUGCGGCGGAUGCAGGAGCAGGACGGUCUGCGGCCCGACGGCGUCGCCCUGCUGGGAGCCCUCAGCGCGUGCGCGCACGCCGGGAAGGCGGAGGAGGGCCGCCGCCUGCUGGCGGAGAUGGAGGCGCUCUACGGUAUUUCCCCCCGCCACGAGCACUACGCCUGCGCCGUGGACAUGCUCUGCAAGGUGGGGCGGCUGGAGGACGCCGUGGAGCUCGCCAGGACCAUGCCCAUGCGGCCGCUCGCCUCCGUGUGGGGCUCCGUGUUGGCGGGCUGCCGGGCACGCGGCGCCGUCGAGCUGGCGGAGCUGGCGGUCGCGGAGUUGGAGAAGAUCGAGGAGGAGCUCGGCGCGGGGGCCGCCGAUGGCGCCCACGUCCAGCUGUGGAGCAUCUACAUGGGCGCCAACAGGGUGGAGGACGCCCGGAGGACGAGGAUGGCGGUGGGGGUCCGGCCGGGGAGGAAGACCACCGGCCGGAGCGAGAUCGAGGUGGACGGAGUGGUGAGCUCCUUCGUCUCCGGCGACGGCGAGCAUCCUCUGCGGGAGAGCAUCUACGAGACGGUCCAUCAUCUCCUCGCCGGUCGCGGCGGCCCCCUCGCAGUGGAGAACGAAGAGCUCUGCCCCGAGGAAAAUGCCGGUUACCUGUUCGACGAUAUGUCCAGCAGAGAAAUUCUUUGAAAAUAUCGUUCUCUCUAUGAAGAUCGCCAACGAAUGAUGACCCAACGGUCGAAAGCGGGAUGCAGAAUUAGGAAGAUAUAAAUAUAUGAUCAAGGGAAUAGCGACCUGUGGAGUUUUUAUUUUAUUAUGCGGCGGCUUAUGAGCAAAGUAUACUUUUAGGGAAAUAACACAUUAGGAUUUAUUUAUUUAUUUAUUAUUUCACGUGUGGCAACCUUUUGUGUCAACUGUGGAUUUUUUUUAUGAAUUUAUCUGGGAAAAUAAUAUCCUUUUUUUUCCCAUUUGCUUCGUUUGGCAGCCCUUGAGCCGACAAGGAAAAUUUUAUUAAUUGUGUUGAGAAAAUAGCACCUGAAAUACUCUUCCUAUGGUUCUGUGGCAACUCUAGGGCUAGAAAUGAUAAUUUUUCAAGUGUUAUUAUCAAAAAUAGCAGAUUUAAAUGGUUUUUUAGAAUUAGUUUUCCGAAGGCCGCCGACCCAGCAAUGAGAAGUCUAAUGGAAUGAUUGAGAAAAUAACCCCUCAAGAUGGUAGUUUUAUUUUAUUAUUUCUUCCGCGGCCGAAGUGGGGAGAAGACCAGACCGGGCUCAGAGAAAAAACCCAUCUCCCGCCAAGCUAUAGAACUGAAUCCUGUGAAACCAAAGGCUGAAUCUGUUUCAUCCUGACUCUCAGCAGCCCAUUCAAGAGAAAGAGGUGAGAGAGAGAGGAGGGUGGGAGAGAGUGAGAGAGAGAGGACAGGAGGGAGGGAGAGNNNNNNNNNNNNNNNNNNNNNNNNNNNNNNNNNNNNNNNNNNNNNNNNNNNNNNNNNNNNNNNNNNNNNNNNNNNNNNNNNNNNNNNNNNNNNNNNNNNNNNNNNNNNNNNNNNNNNNNNNNNNNNNNNNNNNNNNNNNNNNNNNNNNNNNNNNNNNNNNNNNNNNNNNNNNNNNNNNNNNNNNNNNNNNNNNNNNNNNNNNNNNNNNNNNNNNNNNNNNNNNNNNNNNNNNNNNNNNNNNNNNNNNNNNNNNNNNNNNNNNNNNNNNNNNNNNNNNNNNNNNNNNNNNNNNNNNNNNNNNNNNNNNNNNNNNNNNNNNNNNNNNNNNNNNNNNNNNNNNNNNNNNNNNNNNNNNNNNNNNNNNNNNNNNNNNNNNNNNNNNNNNNNNNNNNNNNNNNNNNNNNNNNNNNNNNNNNNNNNNNNNNNNNNNNNNNNNNNNNNNNNNNNNNNNNNNNNNNNNNNNNNNNNNNNNNNNNNNNNNNNNNNNNNNNNNNNNNNNNNNNNNNNNNNNNNNNNNNNNNNNNNNNNNNNNNNNNNNNNNNNNNNNNNNNNNNNNNNNNNNNNNNNNNNNNNNNNNNNNNNNNNNNNNNNNNNNNNNNNNNNNNNNNNNNNNNNNNNNNNNNNNNNNNNNNNNNNNNNNNNNNNNNNNNNNNNNNNNNNNNNNNNNNNNNNNNNNNNNNNNNNNNNNNNNNNNNNNNNNNNNNNNNNNNNNNNNNNNNNNNNNNNNNNNNNNNNNNNNNNNNNNNNNNNNNNNNNNNNNNNNNNNNNNNNNNNNNNNNNNNNNNNNNNNNNNNNNNNNNNNNNNNNNNNNNNNNNNNNNNNNNNNNNNNNNNNNNNNNNNNNNNNNNNNNNNNGAGAGAGAGAGGGAGAGAGAGAGCACUUGGACCUGACCCCAUGAGAACCCUAGCCCAACCAUGCAGAAAUGCGGCCAAUUAGGGCCAGUAUUUCUUACUAGGCUGGACCUUGAGACCCAAUAUUGGAGUACACCAACAGAAUUCUCUAAUCCAUCACCCAAACACCGCAUCAACUUAUAAUUCCUACCUCUCCCAGAGAAUUAAGGCAAAUUAGGAAGAACCCAGAUCGUCUCAGUGAGAAAGAUCAAAGAUAUUAGGGGUGAUGCUCAGAGAAUUUUCAGGCAGGUGCUGCUUCUUGCGAGGAGGAGAUCCAGGAACAGAGAUCAUGAUUUGGCCCUUAUAGCCGUUGUAUGAAGCAAUCCAAGCACAGGAUAAGCCUCCUCCCUGAAGUUCAGAUCAUAAUGUUGGAAUCGUAUGAGCUCCGGAAGAAAUCGUCCCACCAUAACAAGAAUAGAAAUCUGACUGGGGAUCAAGUAGAAAGAAAUAAAUGAUAAAAAAAACAUAUAAUUUAAUCCCGCUCCUUGAAUGGUAUUCAGGGCCACUAUUGAAUCUCCAUCAUGAAAUUCACUCGUCAGGGUCUGAGAAUGAUGACAGUAAAAAUGGAGAGUCUCCAGGCUCACGCCUGCUUCUUCUUCUUCGGCCGCCUCUUCCGACGAGGCUUGUGGGCGUCCGAAUUGGAGCUCAGGUUGCUGCUGUGGUCCGCGCGGGCGCUGGCGGAGGCCCCCCUCUUCUUCUUCGACGGGCCACUACAGCUGUGUGCCGUGCUGCUGGACGUGGACGGCUUCGCCUUCCCUGAAGAGGGCCGCCCCCUCGAUGAGCCUGGCGGCCUCGACUGCCCAUGCCCGCCGUUCUUGGCGGGGCGGCUGAAGGGCCUCGGAGGCGGCAUGAGGGCCCGAGCCGACUCGUGUCUCUGCGUAACACGAUCAAAGGGGGCGGGGUGAGAAAGGCCACCAUGGAGCGAGCCGGCGAGCCAGCGAGAGAGAAGAUCCAAGCGUGGUGGGCAUGGCAGAGGUCGUCUGGGAGAACCUGAUUCUUUUCGUCACUGGACACGCCAGACGCUGCUUUGCCAGAUGCACUCGAAGCUGGUUCCCUGCAGGGUGAAGAACAUGAGAGCCCAUCCGUCACCUGCUUCAGAUGGGUCCGCCAUUUUAGAUAUGGAUGGAGAACCAAUUAGGAACAGGUGCUCAGAAGAUUACAGAGCCAGUUAGGGUAAGGUGUCUGCAUGAUGGCUCGUCAUCCCACCUAACAGCUUCCAAAUCAAUUAUGGCGUACUAUGAAGCAUUCAUAGAACGCCAUCUGCUUGAUGAGAUCGUUUGGCCCAGACCACCCAGCAUUCAAUGAUGACUACCCACGGGACAAUGAGAGCGCCAUUCUUAAGAUUUAACUCUUCCGGCUGCAAUUUGAUUGUCUGGGGGGGAUGCAGAUCUUGGCAUCCCAGGGUAAAUACACCCAAAGGAUGUUUUGGAAAGUUCGCUGCUAUGAAUGCAGCCAGAUGGUAGAUUACUGAGAAGAAUACACCCAGAAGAACAAUAUAAUGGGGAGAUUAAUGAUGGAUAAGUAAAUCCAGCGAAUUUAGUUCUGUAACACAUUUUUGUGUCUCAUUUCGGUUCAUGCUCUAUACUAUGGUUCUCUCAUAUGAGGGUGCUAGGUAAGGAUUAAGAAAUUCUGGAAGAGUGGACUUUCUGAAAUCGCAGUCAUUUAAAUUAAUGAAUCAACAGUUUUUUUCGAGUAGAUGCAUAUAAAAAUAAGCUUGGCGGUAUACAUGGUCCAUUAUGAAUAUUGUUAUCAGGAUGAAUUGAGAAUAUUCCAAGUUGAAAAUCAAAACUGACGAUUUUUAAUUUGGAGAGUCAAGGCAUUGGUCAUCCACUCAUUUGAGAGGUCAAAGAAUUAAAUACCCCACUCAUUUUCGAGUAUCAAAAAAUCUCUUCUGCUCAUCCGGACUAUCAUCAAACAACUUCUCUGAGCGCACUUGAUCUAAAUAUCAAAUAGCUGAUUGACGAAAUGCUGAUCAUUUGGCUACACAGAAGAGUGAUCAACUGGAUGCUUACAUUUUUCUCAAAAGAAUCGACUACCCCUGGUUAGAGCUAAUGUUUCAUUUGCUUCAGAUGAUUUUUUGGCAUACUGAAAACAUUGGCAAUUAGAUGUUUAUAACUUAAUUAGACAUACAUCUUGACAAUUAUGUGCUCGACAGUUAUUUUCUGUAUAUCAAAGACUGAAAAGAGCGUGAUAAAUUUCCAUGGAGACAAGUAUAGUUGAACCUCGUUUCUCCAGGAAUAAACAAUAAUUUCCAUCGGAUGUGGACAAGCUCGUCUGCUAUCGUCCGGCAGCUAAAUAUAGAAUUAGCACUCUCAUGCUCUCAUCCAACCAUUCGAUUCUUAUGGAGAAGUUACACAACUGAAUGCACGGCAUAUUAUAUUUAUAAGGUUUAAGUAAGGUUCCCUAAUUUUCCUUUCAACAGAAUUUUAUCACAGAGGAUAAGUGUGAAACAAAAUUAUGCAGAAUAUUCUACAGAUUUGGCGGAUAUUGCGUUGACUUAAAGAUCAUGUAAAUAUUCAGCGACCAAUGGACGGAUCACAUAUCUGUUAAGAGAGUUUUUCGCGCAUGGAAACCCAUACAACGUGAGGGAUUACAUAUACAAUUUUGAUGAAAAAAAUCACAAGUUUACUCUCCUUAUAUUUCCAGAAAAAAAUAGAGUCGUUUGUAGUGGAAUACCUUGUACUCUUGUCUGUCCACUCGUCAUCAGCCUCGACUUCACUUGAGCUUCCAUUAAGGAAAAAAUCGUCAUCACUCGUAUCUAAAAGUCCAUCAUCCUCACUUCCUGUUUCUGCACAGGCAUAAAUUACCAUAGAAAAUCACGAAAGAGAGGAGAAAUAACUCGUGGGCACAAAUAGUAGAUUAAAGCAUAAAGUAUGCAUAUAUGUACUCAUGAGACCAGCAACAGCUGGUUGGCUCGGCCAGCCAGCAGGGCCUGGCUUGCACUAGAGGGUGACAAUGGUGACCAGGUCGGUGACUGAGACUGCAUUCCACAGUUAACACCAUGCAUGGAUCAUAUGGGAGGUUUUCAGGAGCCAUAGAAACACCACAGAUUCUCCCGAACUAAGUUCUAUCUUGGUCCUGCGUGAGCCAGGGGAUUCUUUACAAGGUUCAGGAGAACAAUUUAAUUGCUCAUACUUGUCUGCUGCAUCUGAUUAUCGUAGAGUAACAAACUCUCAUCUUUAAUCUUAAUCUUUCACUGGCAACCUUUAGCAUUGCCGUGCAUUUUAUCAAUGACAGAGGAAUAAGGGAUUUCAAGGUAAAAGAUAUAUCCAGGACAGUGAAGGGUACCUUCUAGGUCCUUCCCACUAGCAGCAGCAGCUAUCAAGUUAGCCUUUAUCUGCUUCCGUAACUUAUUUCUCUUUUCAAUCAUAUCUGAGUCAUCCACUCCAAUGAACAAGGGAACAUAUUUCUCUGUCUUUGGAAAAAACUGGAGUUCAGAAAACACAAUUCAAGAGUGUUAGCAACUACAUCUCAUAGCAGUAAAUUGUAGCUCGAACGCUUAUCAAAUAUGUGAUUAACAAGGAAAUCUGGAAGAAAAAAUGCCAUAAAAUUACAGGCAACAUUUUGAUAGGUUGAUCAUAUACAGCCAACAAAAUUCACAGGUCUGAAAAAGAAAAUGAUCUACAAAGCAUGCCUCAAUAGUGAUUUAGAAACAAACAUAAAGCUUAUUUCAAUAUACAUAACAUGAUUAUCAGCCUAGAUAGACAGCAGGAAGACACCGAUAAUAUAAAAGACAAGCUGAUGAAAAUAAGACAACAAUGAAGAAUCAUCGCUAUAAUAAACAAUGAAAUAAUGAAUUGAUCAUCAUACAAACGCAUCCCUGCUAAGGUUUAAUGACGAAUAUGGAAAGAUGCAAAUAAGGAUGUUUAUAAAUAGUUCCUGCUCGCAAUGAAGGACGGGUAUAUGUAUAUGAGAUCCAAAAAGACAUGUUGGCCAACUUUCUAUCUUGCUCGCCAUGCGAAUGCUUUGUUACAGAAGAUUUGGUAAGUCACUUUGGCAAUGUACACUAAGAGGGAAGACUUUACAGCAAGACGACCAUGGGCAAAUAAAUUCAUCAACUCUGAGAUAGAUGAAUUUGUUGGUAAGAAGCGACAAUAGUUCAUUAACGAAUUUAUUGUAGUUCCUUCAACCUAUUGAGUCGAUCAGAUCAUCUUCUACAAGAAAGGUACAUAAAUUCAGCACCUUGAAGACCAGAUAUCUUCAUUUUGGCUCAGGAAUAUAAGUCGGAGGAAUUUUAUUCCCAAAGCUGCCACAGUCAUGACCAUCUGUAGCUUUUGACUGCAGUUGUGUUCUUGGUAAAUCAGUGAUGUAAGAAAUAACCAUUGGCCUGAAAACGGAUUUUUCUCUCUCCUUUGUUCGUCUAGUGUAUUUCGGUUUACAGUCUUUUUACCAUCAGCCUUCUCUCUGAGGACUUGUCAAAAGAAGAUUACAAGGAUAUCCUAAACAAACAAAAUGUUGCGACAGUAAUAUAACUUAAAAAUCUUCUACAGGUCUUACCCUGACAUAUUCAAGAUCCUCUUUUAGUUUAGAAAGCUGAUCAGAAAUCUUUUCCUCAGAGAUAUGGUCUGAUGAUAGGCGUUGCUGCUUCUCCAGACGCCUAAUCAUCCUCUCGAUCUUCCUUCUCUCUGCAUUAGAUUUAAAAAAUAUUCAAUUUCAUCAGGAAAGUACGAGGAUUGAAGAGAAUAUAGAUUCUCAGAACGAUCAGUAAAUGAAAAGAGCACCAACAAAAAUCAUACCGAAAAACUUUUUCUUUCUGUCCCUCAAAAAUAUUUUACGUUCAACAGCUAAACGUGUCUGAAGUUCCUGUUGUUCUUUAAGCAUUUCCAGUUUCUUUUCCUGAGCCUCCUUAAUUUGUAGGGGAAGAUUCUUCAAGAAAUCAAAAUGUCAUCAUAUAGUUACCGUCACCAAACAAUCAAUAUCACAGGAAUUUUUUAUGAAUAAAGCAACACAACAUCAAGUUAAAAUUGAUAUUUUCUCAUUCAAAACGUUUUACCCCAUGCGUAUGGAGAACAAUCUGGCGACUAGGAACAUCACUAUUAAGACCAGCAAAUGAUAUCAGAUACGUUUAGAAAUGAAGAGGAAAUUGCACUCAAAAUGAAAGAGAUACUCAUUUUCUCCAACUAUUCUCACGUAGAAAUUUAGAUUAAGUCUUCUUGUGCAUAUAAAUCAUUUAACCCAAGGACAUUGUCAAAAUCUUCUUUCGCAAUGUUUGCAGUCAUUACGGAAAAUGUAAGAGUUAACAACAUAAUAGUUUCCAGCAUUGAGAUAAAAUUCAGAAUUUGAAAUUACAUAAGAGAGGUUGAAAGAAACCUUUCACAAGCAAGAGCACGCACGCACGAGAGAGAGAGAGAGAGAGAGAGAGAGAGAGAGAGAGAGAGAGAGAGAGAGAGAGAGAGAGAGAGAGAGAGAGAGAGAGANNNNNNNNNNNNNNNNNNNNNNNNNNNNNNNNNNNNNNNNNNNNNNNNNNNNNNNNNNNNNNNNNNNNNNNNNNNNNNNNNNNNNNNNNNNNNNNNNNNNNNNGAGAGAGAGAGAGAGUGCAAAAGAGGGAGGAUCUACUUUAGUUCCAGAGACCAAAUUUGAGUAUUUGAAACAUAGUCCAUUACAAAAUAGAUUAAUAAAACAAUUAUUGUUGCUCCUACACACAAAACUAUCCCCUUAGCAUACACAACACCAAAAAAUUCUCAUUAGCAUCGACGUUAAUUAAAAAUUUAACUCGGAAGUAGUUUUAAAGAUUGAGCCUUUACAUGCCAUCUCCUUCACUUAUGAGGUACAACAACAUGGUUAUGCAGUCCACAGAAAGUACAGAAAACAUAAUAUGUAUCCUCACUAUCGCCAGCUAGUAUUCACCAUUUGUUUCUAAUGUCCAAAAGAUAUCAAAUGGGGGAUCUGAGUUAGAGUAAGGUUACGAUGUAAGAACAAUGGAAGAUCGCCUUUUCUAACCUCCACCCAACACAUCAUAUCAUCAUCGGUAUUUUUACACAUAAAACCCAACUUGAAUAGUGAUUUCCUUUUGUAAGCGAGCUGUAUUUCAGAACUAUAAACUUUACCUUCGCAUGGCUGAAGUAACGCAAAAAGGAAUACUAAUGUAGACAUCCCUAGAGAAGAAGAAUUGAGGAUAGUCAUUAACAAUUCUGACUGUCAUGUUGACGAGCAAAGAGUGAGAGAAUACGCCCUUGAAUCCAAGGUUAUUUUGACAGAUUAGGAAAAUUUUAAGCUUAAAUGUCAUGUUUACAUUAUCCAAUCAACGAGUAGUAUGUGAUUUUGUCCUUUGUUUAUGAUACUCGCAUUUCACUUUAAUCACACAUCCUUAAAUUAAAUGUAAGACAUUAUACUUUGUAUGAAAGUUCCAGGACAAAUUUAAACUCUUAAAAACAUUAACACAUAGCCUCAUCAAAAAUACGAAACUUACAAUCACUCAAAAGGAUACGAGGAUCAGGCUCAAACAAAGCAGAAAAUUUAAUAAGACGAAUUCUGAUAAAAAAAUUCAGAGUUUUUAAAGUGAUUAAUCGAAGCUGACAUAAAGCGUCCGACGUGUGCGAACACCACAGAAAAUCAUAAGAAACUUUCAAAUUGGGCAAAGCUUUCAGAAGUAUGCAAGUAUCAAUAAAAAACCAGUAUUAAUCAAGGGAAAACAAACGAUGAUGAUGACCAAAUGAACAUUGAAAGGACAGGGUUGAAAAUAAAUGUAUACCUGACGGAGCAUCCGCUCCGUAGAACGAAUCUGCUUCUUAAGGGAGCUUGGCUUAAAGUUAUUCUUCUUCUUGUCAGGUCCCAGACCCUUCGGCCGGCGGGCGACCGGCCUGCCCUCGGCGACCCGGCGGCCGGCGUAGCCCCCCCUGGCCAUCCCCAAUGCCACCUCCCCGCCCCCUUUUAGAAAGAAAAAACCUCCGCUUGUACUCCAAUAACCUGCAACCUUAGGGUUUCUCGGAAACUAGGUCGUCUCCUUCCCCUACGCCACGAGCUCUCCAGGUCCUCCCGCGCGCGCGCUCUUCGCCUGGCUCUGUGCUCCAUUGCCGCUUGCGACGUGAUUUUAAUGCCCUCACCGCCGCACGCGCACCCCGUACCCCGCAACCAUUCACACGUGCAAAACUCCCGCACUGGUUUUAGCAUAUGGGCCGUCCUGGUGGUAAGGCCCAUCAUUUCAGGCCAACCGGGUCAAUCAAACUGCAGGAAAGCCAGCCCGGGUCAUGUCACAAUCCACUGCCUCUGGCCUAAUAUUCAAAAGGCAUCUAUUUUAGAAUAAUUAUGAGUUAUUUGUAUGGCUUUUAAUCAUAAUGAAUUUUAUUUUAUAAUAAUGAUAUCAAUAUACAUAAUUUUUUACUAAUUAUAUACUUCAUUUUUAUGAUUAAUAACAUAAUAGUUGUCAUUACAUUGGGGUAAACUAAUAACUGAAUAAAUUAAUCAGUAAAGUGAGUUGAAAUAUGGCUUGAACUAAAUUAAUUUAACAAUCAAGUCUAAUAAUAACUCGAAGACCAAAAAUAUCCAUCUAACCCCUCAAUUUAUGACAUAAAGUCCAAUCCAAUGGGCAAGACCUUAUUCCAGCCUUUGGUAGUUAACCCAAUAAUCUUUUUGAUGGAAAAGUGGGCAGGGGAGGGGUUGUUAUUGACUGCCAAAACCAAUGUGCCAUAAAUAAAAACCAAAAAUAUGAAAAGAUAAUGCAUUUCCCCCUUCUCUAAGGACAUCAAGGUGAUGCAACAAAAUCGAGAGUGAGGCACUUAGGAAAUCAGGAGGUCCAAUAACUUUGUCGAGGAAAGGUGUCGUUAUUUUAAGGUGGAGAUGUAAAUUAGAGAAAAGAGAAAGAGAUAAGUUUUUCUCUUUUCUCUCAUUUGGAGUUCCUAUUUACUUUAGGAAGAGAUAAACCUAAUGUUCUAAGUAUGAGCAUUUGAAAAAAAGAGUUUUGCUAAAAACAUACUUUUUCAUUUGUUUCUUCACCUCAGCUUCUACUAUUCUUGAUGUGGGAAUUAUUUAUCUGAAUCACAAAAUAGUGUAUCAUGUAUUUAAUUUUGUUAUGAAGUGGUUUAUAUUCAUUAUGUCAUUCUUUUAAGAAUAUUCGGAAAUAAUUACUAUUGUAAAGGAAAUGCAUUAAAUAUUAGUUUAGUUGUGCUUUGACUUAUAUUGUUCAUAUGCCACCAACAUUUAUUUCAUAUGUUGAGGGGCUGGGCGUAAAGUUUAAAUUUUAAGGGAGUUUUGAUAAUAUGGCUGUUAAAUUGACUUGGGCAAACUAGAUGAAGAUCUUGAAGCAAGAUUCCAAUAUUUUUUACUCUUGAAUUUACUUCAAAUGAUGACUAAGAGUUACAUAAAAGUCAAAGAGUGGCUUGGAGAAAGGAGAAAGAUGAAAUCUUCUCUCAUCUCUCUCAUCAGGAAUUCCUAUUGACUUAAACAAGAGAGGAACCUAGUCUUCUAAGCAUUUGGAAAGCGGAGUUUUUUCAAAAUCAUUCUUCUUCAUUUGUUUCCCCACCUCAGCCUCUCUUAUUCUCGGUGUAUCAAGUACUGAACUUUUUUGAUGAAGUGAUUUGUAUUCAGUAUGUAAUUAUUCUAAUAUUUGCAACAUUAUGAAUCGUUAAAUAUUUGAAAAUCAGUAUUCUACUUAGUCAAAUGCAUCCAAGAUUAGUUUCAUUAUUUAGUAUUUGAGAUCCAAUUUUGUUUAGAUACCUCUGAUUUCGUUUAAACUUUAUUUUUCAGAGCUAUUUGUCACAACAUGAGGAGGGGGGAUGUCAAGAUUGAGGAGGUUGGCGGCAGCGAGAGAACUAGCUGCCCUGAGUCCAUGGUGGUGAUGACAUUGCCUAUCUCUAUCUCUGCUGAGUUCUUCAGCAUAGACAUCAUGGAGGUUUUGCCGGCCAGAAGAUCCUGGGACCUCCCACUAGGCGCCAGGACAUCGUCAUCAUUGGUGGCGAGGAACUCUGUGACAUAGGUCUCCGCCUUCUUACUGCCCAUGCACCUCACCACCACCACCUUGCAGCCCAGAGCUCCCAAUGCCCUCAUCUUAUAGGGUUGUGAUUUCGAGCACAGAACCUCGCCGGUGGCAUAAGAUCGAAAAGUAAUCUAUGUGGGUGCAUGCGACGGGAGCUCGAUCAGUGCAACGGCACAGUAUGGCGUACCGGUCUAACGACAGCGACACGACUCAGCUGCACGGGCACCUGUAGGUGCACACGCAACACGGCACAGUAGGCACGACGGUCUCACGAGCACGCACAGGGGCGCAGCACGACACGACGACGCGAACACAGUUCGCACGGCGACGAAAUGGCACGGCUGCACGAGCAUGCGAGGGAGUGCAGCAUGGGGCGGCACAGUACAGAUGGCACAAGGCACAUGGUGGGGGCGCACAACGCGCAGCUACCACAUAGGGUUUUCACGGCGGGCGCGCAGGACGGCACGGGGGUCUGCGCGCGGCGGCACGGCGGGCGCGCUGGACGGCAUGGGUGUAAUAGAGGGGCCAUGCAGCAACCAAGGGAAUGAGUAAUGGACGCCCAGAUUUUUCGCCCGCCUACACUCCUUGGUGCAGAGUAUCAGUGAUUUUGUGUUGAUUUGUGUGCUUCCAGAAAGUACCCACAGUGCUAGCAGCUGCCUGGGAUAGAUCACCGCUAACCUCGUGACACCACCGGGGAGCUCCGCCACCAGCUUCAUGAUGGCGACGGCGAUGCCACGAGGACCACCCGGCUGCGCAGCGUCGCCAUGAUCUGCUUCCCUGUUGGCAGCGAGCUCCAGGGUGUCAAUGGCGAGUAAGUCCUCAACGGUGAGGAAGAUUUGCCCAGGGAGCUGCGUGUAGAGCUGGAGAGAGCCCGGGGGAGUCAUCGCCGGCGGCGGUGCGAGGGCGUCACCUCAGCCCUGUGGCACUGGGGAUUCAUAACCUUGGCUGGGUACCUCCUUUCAGAUCGCUUUACACGAACUGGGUACGCACCGGACAGCAGAUGAGGCGUGAUUGGUUGAAUUAGUCGCAUCCUCUUCCAUGUUCGAAGCAUGGAGAGCAUCAGCAGCGCGGAAACUGGCUGGCCAGCAUGACCCAUUAAAAGUCAACGCGAACAAUGCUUAUUAUUAGGCUGAAUCAGACAGAAGUCCCCGGACAACAUCCAAAACACGAUGACAACAAGAUGCAGACUUUCUGCGGCUCGGCGGAUGAAGUCCGACGGGAUGUACAUUCCAGGGGAGCUUCGAGGUCAACGGGCCGCCAAGCGAGCCCGGUCAACGGGUGGAGGGGUCAGCAGGAGUGCUCCUCAGUUAACGAGGAGGGUGCAGCGGGAUCUGGGGGACGCCUGCUUCUCACUAGAAGCCUGGCAGAAAAGAGUACCAGGCGGACCGCCCCCAUUAAACCCCAGAAUAUAUAUAAAUAUAUAAACAUCAAGAUAUAAAUAGUAAUAAACGAUAACCUUUAUUUACCUGCUGUUGUACGAGGAAUUGGGGGGCCUGGACCCUCUUGGAGCCGUCCCCGAGGCGCUUGCAGGGGAGAUGCCUCGCUUCGUUGGGAAGCCCGGUUAAGAUCUGGAGGGAAGAACCGAGGACUCAUUCAUCAGGCCAAGACCGGUUCAAUCGUGCCCAGAUCCAUUGUUCUCCAAAGAAAAUAAAUAAAUAACAAAAAUUAGAGGGACGUCAACAAUUCAGGAUCUCAAGCUCCGGGUCUUUUAAAUUAGUCAGGCGGAUGGGAGACCCCAUCCAUGUCUGGCGCUUCUAUGAUGAUUGAAUACUUUCACUGGAGAGUAACUGAAUUUCAUUUGAUCCAAAAUUUUGGAGGCCAAAAUAAAUAGCAUCAGAUCAGAUAAGCAUAAUGCAUGCUCGUGCUGUUCAUAGAUCCAAAUGAAACCUGCUUCAACUCCUCUUUUAUGAUUAUAGUUCUCUGGCCUUGUAAUGGUGACCAGUGGCGCUCUCUCUGAUCCCAGUUCAUCACUCAGGUUGCGAGGAAGAAUUGGAGAAGAAUAAUGCAAAUGAUGUGAUGAAUUGAAGGAUGUACCUGGUCAUGAACAGCUCCGAUGAGAAAGUUCUGGCAGCCAGAAGCGUAGACCAUUUCCAAUUUGGGACACUGAAGGAGCAGCCUCUCUGGAACAACACGAAAAAGUUGGGAGUGUUCAAACAGGGGAAAACAAACACCAUCGCCGCCUAAUCAGAGGGCCGAGGGGAUACAAAGCAACACACCCGGGUGCAAAUUCGUGCAGGAGUUUAGAUUGAGGUCAGUGAGCUCUGGACAGUUCAAGUGCAAGGCCUGCAAGGAGCAAAAAUCAACGCCUGAAUGAAGAACUGAGAUUGGGCGUGGAAGGGAAAAGAAUAAAGUAAGGGUGAGCUCACGUCUAAGGCAGAGCAACCCCACAAGCUGAGCUUCCUCAGCUGCCCAUGCUUGAUGAUCAGCUUUUGGUACAUGGGCUGGAGUUUCCUCGUGGGAUGGUCUUCAACCCCGACAACAUGGAGCAGAUUUUCUUCAGGGGCAUCAUUCUGGGAUGCCACAUCGCGCAUGCUCAUGCCACAGUCGAUGAGCUGGAGGAGAGGUAACUGAGCAGUCGCAAACUGGAUUCCACCUGAACCGUAGAUAGGAACGGACAGGAUACCAGGGAGAAGAUAAGAACAUGCAUCUCACACUGAAAGGGGGAAAAGAGAGUAGAAAUACGCCUGAGAGAUUGGGAGACCAAUUACUUGAUGUGAUGUUUGGGCAAAGAGCGAGGAGAAGCCUAGAUAGAGUGUCAGGGUACACAUUGCAUAUCAUUCCAAUGCCACUGUCACUAAUGCUCGAUCUGGUUCAAGGGGAAAACGUUUGUGUCAGUUGACGAUUUAAAAUACACCAGGAACAUUAGAAAUUACUUGUAAAGAGUGCCAAGGGGAGAGAAUUACCCGCUAAGGUCAAGUAACUCUAGGUCUGUAUAUGAGGACACGAUGGAGGCAACAGCUGCAUCGGUAAUCUUUGAACCGAGUACCAGAGAAAGCAUGCGCAAAUCCCUAUGAGAGAGGUAAAUACUUUAAUGAACUGAACUUUAAGAAGCAUAUGAAAGCUGUAGCAUGACUCUCUACAAGAGAAUAUGUGCGGACUCAUUCACAGACCUAAGCUUUGCUCCAGUCAGGGAAAGAACGGUCGGAUUAGACAAUCGGGGUGAUGCAAUGUGUACGUUCCUCAAUUUUGGGCACAUUCUACCAAGAUUAUCCAGCAUUGAGGCAAGAUCAGUUGAAUCAUUAUCUUGCCGACCAAAGUCCAGAGAAAUCUCCUUUAAAUUUGGACAGUUAAUGUGCUGCAGAUACAAGAAGAGGAAGUUAAACUCAUUGACGAAAAUAUUUGUUGCAUUGAUGAGGAGAAAUAGCCAAGUCAUAAGAUAUCGAUAAGGCUACGCAUACUUACCGAUUUAGAGAGGCAGUGGAGGUCAGAUAGCCAAAGAACAAGCAAACUUGAAGAGCAGAGGUUCAGAAAUCCGAGGUUAGAACAGCCUUCAAUUUUAAGGCUGGUAAGAGAACGCUUUUCAGCAACGAAACGGCCUAAUGCAUCUCUGAAAUACACCAGACAUAGGCAACAUCGGUUAAUAAGCACAUAUCACACAUAAUUGCAGCAUAAUGCAUGUAACCUAGUGAAGACACAGAUAGCAUUCAGAAUUUAGAACAAAGACAAAAUUGAAGAGGCAUUAAGACGAUCACUCCAAAGAAAAAAAAAAGAUAGCCACAAUCUACGGAUUUGUGAAAGAAAAAUAAAUGACUCCAGUCCUAGUUCUCUCUCUUCAACAGGCCUCUUCUCCAAUAAAAAUGAAUAUCCCAACUGCAUUAAGAAGGGUUCCAAGUUUCCUUUUUCGGGUCGAAACUGGCAUCAGGGCUGCGAAAGAAAAUAAUCGUCACAAAACAAACGCAACUUGCACUAAUUGCCCCUUCAAUAAGUGCUCCAAAGUUUUCGUGAUUUGAUAUUUUCCCACAAAAACAGACCGAGACAAUGCAUAACCGAGAUAAAUACAGGAAUAGACGACCAUUGAUUCUUUCAAGAACAAAAUGCAGAAAUACAUUCAAAACUCUAAGGAAACAACAAUUAGAUUGUUGUACACCCCAAAAGGACUAUUAUCAAAAUGAGGCACUGUAGAGAUAGUAAAUGCUGGAGCAUAGUGACGACAAAUCAUACCCAGCCAUACGGUUAACUGCACCGUCAUGUAUGGUAAUCUCCAUGGCUUCCAGGUUUGGACAAGAAAAUGCAACGCAAGCAAGAAUUGUUGCAUCAACGUCACUGCAUUAAAAAUACCCCGUCAAGUCCCUCUGUGAAACAGUCAAACCGAGCACAGAAAUUCUGUCGAACUUAUCAAUGACAAAAAUAGUUGGGGAAUGAUUAAAAUGGCAAUGAUAAUGUUGAGGGCAGUAUAAUAAUGAGUGGUAUACACUACGAUGUACAGAUCUGAGAUCCAAUGAAACAUUCACUUCGCUUCUUCAUAAGACAGCACCCAUCCAGAUGAUCGUACUGCAGUCGCGACUGAUUAUCUACGCUAGAUAAAAAGUAGAACGGAAAAAGAUGCCGCCAAGAAGAGAUAAAAGGCCAUCCGGCCUAAGUCGAGUACUUCAUUUGUGAGAUCUUCAACCAUUAAGGUUGCAGAUCUAGAUCUAACAAUGGCCUUAAAUCUGCAUAUCAUCGUGCUCGAAUAAUCCCCACAUGCUUUUCUUGCUGCAUCUAAGAAAAAGGGAGCUCCUUACAUUACAAGUGAUUGCCCAAUGGGGAUUAAUACGGAAUAAAAUCAGCUUUUCAUCUCCAUGACUUGCUUUUUCAGCCGAUACCCUCUAGCUCAUAAAACCACGAGAAGAUUAACGACAUCCAAGGUGAACCCUGUCCCACAGGUGUCAUCAAGAAACUUCCCCCAUAACCUAAUUAGAUCGACAACAUUUACUUGGUUAGACGCCAAGGCCUCGAAUAGAUGGAUCGAAAACAAGGAACUCAGACCUUAACCCCACAUCAUAAAUUUGCCCUUUGCGUUGUAUGUAAAGGAGACAACCUGGUGAUCAAACAUCGGAUCCAAUAUUCAUCCGUUAACACUAAGUCUGCACUGUUUGACUUGAAUAAGAAACCCUAACCUUUCCAUACGAAGAGAUAGGCGGGCCAAUGAGCCACACUUCUGGAGCACCGAGCCCACGAAGCCGACCUGCGACCUUCUGGGAACCCUGAUCCUCAGCUCCUCCGCGGCUUUCCACACCCUACCUACGCACUCUUUCCAUCCUCUGCACACCCCCGCCGCUGCCAUCAGUUCCUUCGGUGGCAGCCUGCGCAGCACCUCCACCAAGAGCCGACCCGGCAGGACAACUCCUCCCAGGUCACCGUCCAUCUCAUCUCCGACCUCGUCCCCUGCUGCCGGUACAUCCGCCAAGGGUACAUAGCCCCCAAUCUCCUCCGCCUGCCCAGCCGGAGUCCCCAGGUCCUCGUCAAAGGACAGAGCGCGGCGGAGACGCUGGGCAUCGGAGGAGGGGGAAGCGGCAGCGAUGACCGGAGAGCCGGUGGACUGGCAGAUAUGCCCCUUCUUAGGCAGCCCACAGCGGCCACAGUUGUAGCUUCCCCGUUUCUUCGAGGCCCCGCCCCCUGCAGCGGCCGCCGAGGCCUUGCGCUUCGGUCCAUCGGAGGCAGCCGCGGGGGACGGAUGGUGGUACAUCUUCACGGCGGCGAUCUGGCUGCUGAGCCUGCACCGAGAUCUCUGGGGGGAGAAGAUUAGAUGGCGGCGGCGUAAAACAAGUAGGGGAGCGCUGUGAGGGUUGGAAGAGGAAGGUGGCGGAGAGAGAGCGAGAGGCGGGAGAUUGGAGUUGAUUUCGCGCCACUUUUUCCCCGCUAGUAAGCUGGCAGACCGAACCGGACCAGACCGGACCGGGGCGGGGGGGCGGCGGUUGAGGGGAUCGGCAGAAUCGUUGACCAUCCCUUACCCAGUAAAUGCUCUAUAUCUGGAUCAGAUAAAUUUCCAGAAGAAAAAUGGGUUUUGCGGUUAACGCGACCCUCAUCUCUCCUCUCUCUCUCUCNNNNNNNNNNNNNNNNNNNNUCUCUCUCUCUCUCUCUCUCUCUCUCUCUCUCUCUCUCUCUCUCUCUCUCUCUCUCUCUCUCUCUCUCUCUCUCUUACACACAUGCAUUCUUGAAUUAACCAGAUUAUCCUUUCACAGCUCUAACUUAUUGCUUCUUAACAACCCCCCUCCCCCUUUCUUUGCAUUCUUGAGUGUUAAUCCCUUCAUUAUGCACACUUCUCUUUUUAGUCUUCCUCCAUUAUGGUAGCUGAUAAUAGGAUGAUUAGUUCAUUUGUGCAUUGUAAAAUUUAUUUCUCCUCUAAGGUUGAAAUAUAAAUUAAUAUUUUGAUUACUUUCUUGCGUAGACUAAGGACGUCCUUAUAUCUAUUGAAAUUAUGGAACGAAACCAUACAAAAUGGCUAGAAUGUUUUAGCACUAUACCAAGUGCUUUGAAAUUUUCAUACAAUGUGAAAUGAAAUUAAAUGGAGCAAAAUCAUGAUCAAAGAACAAUGAGAAGCUGUGAUCUAGAAACAAGAAACCUCUUGCACCCAUUGACUCAUUGCAUUCAUAGUUGUUUUGGGAAAACCCAAUAUUCAUCUAUACUGGUAUGUUUCAAACUACAGUUUGAACUUCAAUUCAACUUUGCUAAGGAAGCCUCCCUAACUUUUAUCUAGCUAGUUUGAACUUCAAUUCUACAUUAGCAUAGAAUUUUUUACAUUAGUUGCUAACCCCUAGAAAAGUCCCAUGUAAAUUUGUGGUCAAUCAAAAAUGUUUUGAAGACUACAUCAAGAAAUAACAUUGUAUAUGAAGGAAAAAGAGUAUCAUGCGAAUAAAAGAGUAUCAUGUAAUAAAAGAGUAUCAUGCAGGAAAAAGAGUAUCAUGCAAUAAAAGAUUUAACAUGUGCUAAAUCUAUUAUUGGGCCAAUUCAACUUGAAUUUAGGCCAUAAGGGUCUUCAUGCCUCAUAUUCUUUUGGAUCAUUUGAAUUAGACUAAAAUUGAGCUACAAUCUCCUAUUCUUCAAAAGAACUUGUCCUCAAGUUGUCAUUAAUCACUUGAUAAUACUCAUGUAAUACUCAAAAGAUAUUCUCAUAGUUUCAUGUAAAUUAGGAACAUAAGCACUAUCAUUGAUUUUGAAGAAGAUUCUAUAGGGUCCAUACUUUUUUGGACUUGUUAUAAUUACUAGAUGUGAGUCUUUCUUUCCUCAAGUACACCAUAAUAAGAUCAUCGACUUCAAAAAUAUUAUUUGUCCUAUUUUUAUAAAUUUUAUUUAUAUUUUUCCUAAUCUGAUAAAAGAUGAUUUCUCACCUUUUUAUGCAAUAUCUUGAGAUUUUUUACUGCAUUGUUUGUGAUAAUACUAGCUCAAAAUAACUUUGGCAAAUCUACUAAAUUAAGUGGAAACUUAGGAGGAACAUAAUACAAAUAGAAAAUGGUGAUUGACUUGUUGAAUGAUUUACCAUUGAAUUAUAAGCAAAUUUAGCUUGAGUUAAGGCAAUAUCCCACUAUUUUGACCUUUCUCCUAAAAUACAAUGAAUUAAGUUACCAAGACAUUCUAUUUACAACCUUUGUUCUACCAUCUUUCUAUGGAUGACUAAUAGCACCAAAUUUUGAGCAUGAAUCAAAUAUGUUCUUGAGAGUAUGCCAAAAAUGAGAGAGAAAUUUAGAAUAUAUAUGUGGAGUGAUUGAAUUUGAGACUAUGUAAGCAAAUUAUCUCUUUAAAAAAUAAAUGGGCAAUAGAAACGACAUCAUUUGUUUUUUACAAGCAAUGAAAUGAUCUAUCUUUGAAAAUUGAUCUACAACCACAAAAAUUGAGUCAGCUCCUAUCUAAGCACAUGAGAAUCCUAACAUAAAAUUCAUUGAAAGAUUGACCCAUGGUUUUUUGGAAUUAACAUUGGAGUUUAUAUAACCUUAGUAUUUUGACAAUGCCCAUUGUUAAUUUGAAAAUUUUGACAUCUACAUACAAUAGUAUUAAAUAAUAAGAUUAAUUCUCCCAAUUAGAGAUCAAUAGUAUUAUAUAGAUGAAUUGAGUAAAAAUUAUUGACAGAUUUUCCAAGAUCUCUAACAACUAGAUUCACUUAAAAUAAGAUUAAAUUCAAAAUUUUUAUGAAUCUAAUAUGAUAUGUCCUUUAGCUACUUUGGAUAUCUUCUAAGGAACCAACAUGUGAAUCAUUUUAAAACUUAACAUUCAUAUUAGAUAGCAGAUAGCAGUCAUUCACAUAAACUUGAGAUAAAUCAAAUAAGAUAUUUUGUGAAUCUGACAAGACAUCUCUUAUAGAAGUAAUGAUUUCUCAUAUAAAUCAAAUCUGAAUCCAAUCAAAUAAGUUAUGAGAUGUAAUUAUACUUUGUUAACUUCAAUCUCAAUAUUUCAAAUUAUGACAAAUCUAUCAAGCUUGGUUUGUUUAAUUUUCAACAUAUAUUUAAUAUUUAUUCAGAAAAUCAUAAUUAAUGAAUUUAACUCUUGAUUGAUAAUUUGAUUGAUUUGAUAUUUAAAUCAUUAGAUAGUUAUAAAAUAAAAUUAUGAGUUUAUAGAUACUUGAUUGAGCUUUCAUACCUAUAUUUGAUUUACUUGGUCAAAUCAUUAUUCUUUUGAUUGUCAUAAUUUCUACAAAUAAUAUUAUUUUCAGAUAAUAAUAUACAAUAUGAUGUAUUUCAUGAUCUUAUGAUUCAAUUAUUUGGAUUCAUAUCAUGAUAUUUUCAUUUAUUGAUUAGCUUAUCAAUUAUAUAGUUGAGAUCAUGACACUCAUGCUUCAUGUGUAUGAUUUCACAUAUUGCAUCAUAGUAGAUAUUCUAUAUUUAUUUGUAAUACAUUUAUUAUUUGACCACACAUGUAUAUUGUUGAAAAAUAAUUAAUUGAGAAUAAUUAUUCUUAAUUGACCUUAAGUGAUUUUGUCAUCAUCAAAAUAUGAUGCCUUCAUGGCUCCAAUACUUCUCACUAAAGAAAGUAACUAGAUGAUCUUCUUGAGAUAAGACUAAUCCAAUUCCCAAAAUUGAUGUCACAUUGUACUUCAAAUAAUUUUAAAAAAUUUGAGAGAGCUAACAUAGGGGUACUUUUCUUUAAUAAGAAUAAAGCUUCUAUUUGCAACAUCAGUCCACACAAUUUAUUUUUUGUACAUUAUGUUUCUUAGUGGUGGAACAUGAUAUGAAUUGAAAUUUUUGAUAAAUUUUUUGGAAAAUGAGGCCAAAUCAUGAAAAUUACAAAUAUCAUGAAUAUUUCGUGGUAUUUCUCAUUCUUUGAUAGCUUUAAUCUUGUCUUCAUCAACUUUGAUACCAUCUGCAACUAUGAUAUAACCUAUGAAAAUAAGAUUAGAAGUCAUAAAAUCAUACUUUUUAAAAUUGAUAAAUAACUCAUUUUGUUGUAAAAUAGUCAACACUGAACUCAAAUGAUGAAUAUGAUCUUCAUUAUUUGAGCUAUAUAUCAAAAUAUCAUCAAAAUAAAUAACCAUAAAUUACCAAUAUAAGGUAUCUUAGUAUAUGAAUUGAUAUUAGAAAAUGAUUUUGUUAAUUCCUCUACUAUUGACACACAUGCAAACUUUAUCCUUUUUUGGAACUAAUAAGGUAGGAAUAGAACAAGGGCUCAUGCUUUCAUGAAUAAAUCCUUUCUACAAUAAUUCUUCAAAUUGAUCUUGUAAAAUUUGAUUGUAUUAUGGACUCAUCCUAUAAUGUGAUAAAUUUAAUAAACUAAUUAUGAGAAUUAGGUUAAUGUGAUGUUGUAUGUUUCUUAGUGGUGGAAUAUGAUCAUGAAUAUCUUAUAUGAUAGAAAAUUCAUUCAACAAAUCUUGUGCAGCCUUUGGAGCUAUUAUUGAAUUUCGUACAUUAGUAGUCAUCUUCUUGAUAAGUAGAAAUAAAUCAAGCUUUUCUCUCAAUGUGGUGAAAAACUCUUUCCUAUUGAUCAUCAUCACCUACUAUUUAUUCUCUUUUGUAGUGCUAAGAAAAUUCAAAUUUUUAUUUGUUGUAAAAUAAUUUUCUAACUAUUAUUUUAAAAUAUAUAAUAAUUUUCUUUGCUUCAAUGAGUCACAUUAAAAUCAAAUUGUCAUGGUCUUAUGAAAAUCAUAUGACAUACAUCUAUAUCAACAACAUCACAUUAAAUUUCAUCAAAAUAAAUUUUACCAAUUGAAAAUUUUAAGAGAGAAGUCACCAUAACUUGGUUCAAAAUCUUUCUUUAUCUAGUCAAUUUUGUAUGGAUGAGGAUGCUUUUUUGCCUUUAAUCUUAUUUUCAUACCACUGAAGAAUACAUAAUAUUUUUGCUACUACUAGAGUCGAUGAUAACAUCACAGAUCUUGUCAUUCACUAUGUACCUUGUUUUGAAUAUGUUAUGUGUAUGAGGAUGUUCUUCUUUAUUUGAGGUGUACAUUAGUCUUCUAAAAACUAAAUAACAUGCAUAUUCCUCAUGUUCAUCACCAUCAAUAAUGUUUUAUGGAACUUGAUUUUCUUCACUUUGAUCUUCAUUUUCAUCAAUUGUCUCUAUAGUAUUUUUUGAACAUGUUUUAGACAAACAUUUGAUUUAUGUUCUUAAUUGCAUCUGUAACAUUUAGAAAUGAUGUUAGGCAUUUAAAUAUUUUUUUGUGUUGAAUUUUGCCCAAAUUGAAUAGAAACAUUUACUUAUGAUGCUAUUGUAGUUGAGGCUCUUCUUGAAAUUGAAAUAGAAAAAUUGGGUGAUAGCCUUGAUUUGUCAUGUUGAAAAUUUGAUAUACUACUAAAAUUUUGUGAUCUUGAUUUUCCUAUUGCUGAUAAUGAUUCUACACAUUCUAAAGCCAGAACAACAUUUAACCUAUAAGAUGAUUAUAAAAUAAGUUUUUCCUCAAUAUCCCAUUUGAGACUACUAUUGAAUCUAAAAAUCAUAUAAGAUUCAGAUUUGUUACUAUUUGAUAAUAUCUCAUUUUUUAGAUGUAAUUUUAGUUAAGUUAAUAAAAUAAUAUUUUAAUUUCAUUUAAAUAAGUUAAAAUUAUUUAUUAAAAAUAUUUUAAAAUGUAAAAUCUUAUUUUUAGUGAAUUUUAGUCAAUUUUUAGAAUUUAUUUUUGGAUUAAAAUGUGUUGCUUGUUAUUUUCUAAAAUACAUAAAUAAAUAAAUAUAAAUUUAUUUUGUAAGAUUAAUUCAAACCAUUACAUCUUUAGGUCACUGGAUUCAUGUCAUAUGAUUUUAAGUACUAAAUCAAUGGGAGAUGAAUACUUGGAAUGGACAACCAAUUAUCUUAAAUUUUUUAGAUGUGUCACAUACAUGUUAGGUGUGAGUGAUUGAUCUAAUGUCACACAAUAGAUCAAUUGGAUGAUGGAGAAUGCAUCACACAGCCAAGGCCCUUCACUUUCACUAGGACAUAUCAAUAGCAAUCAAUUAUGUUAUAGUGAAAUAGACAUUAUCGAUUAUUGUGGGUGAAAUAAAAUGAUAUAGAGUUCACCUACAAUGAGUAUUUCAUUUUCUCCCCCUCCACGCAGUCAAUGCUUUUAGCGACCAUUGAACCCUCCUCUUGACUCCUUUAGUUGCACUUAGAACCUCUAACGAGUGGCCACAAGUCUUCCCUUCUCCUCAGACAUUGGUGACAAUAGUGUCGACCCCUCUUUCCAUAUAAUCAUUCUAGAAAAUAGUGUAGAACCACCAAAUGAUCUUUGUGUGUCAUGAACAUAUAAUACAAAACCGUUACACUAGCCUCUCUUGCUACUCCAUAGGUGGACUCAUCAAAGGAUAAUAUUGGUUUUAGAUUUAUUAGUAUUUUGUUUCAUUUUUAGCACAAAUGAUCAUUUCUAGACAUUCACAAGAAAUAAUCAGAAGAACUCAUAAUUUACUUGAUAAAAAUGGUUCAUUUCUAUCCCAAAUCCUUCAUGACUUGUUUAGAAUCAUCCUACAAAUGAUUUUGAAUUAUUUUGCAUCAAUUUCUAUUGAGAAAUCUAGCUAAAAAUCCUUGUCAUUUUCUAGUGAUUUCUGAUGUGGAAUGAUUUUAUGGUGAUUUUUCUCUAAUUUUACAAUUUUUUGGUUAUUUUCUAGUUUCAUUUUGAUCAUAUUUCCCUUAUUAGUUGAUACAAAAGUUGAUUCAGUUAUUUUCAAGUAUGAUUUUAUUCUUUUUUUGUGAGUUCUCUAUUGUGUAUUUGUCUAGAAAUUGUAGUCAAUGAUUUCCACAAUCUUAUAAAUUUUUUAUUAUUUUAAUCAUAAAUUUUAAAAAGGGCAUAGAAUCACUUAAAAAGUAAAAUAAAAAUUAAUACUCAUGAUAGAUUAUUCCUACUCUCUAUGUUUGACAUGAGACUCAUUGCUUAUUAUUCUUUAAGGUUCAAUUAUAAAUUUUAUUGGAUUAUGGGUAUUUAACACCAAUGAGAAACACCCAUCAUCUUCUUGAUCAUGUUGCUGGGGAGUUUGAUUUUAAUCAGUGUCUAUUGAUUUGAUUUUAGUUUUUUUAGUGAUUCUAAACAAAAUUAUUUUUAGUGCUGUCUAGUUAUUUUUAUUUAAUUUCAAUGCAUUAGUAUUUAGUUUAUUUAGUUGUUACUUUAGAAGCUUUUAUUUAUUUAUUUCACUUUUAGUUUUAGCAUUUUAUUCAUUUGAGCAUCUCAUUUUAAUUUGAAUAUUUUAUUUUAUUCUUGAUUUAUUUAAUUAAUUAAUUAUUACAAUAAUCAUUUUUAUUCAUAUUUUGAUGAAAUUGCUUGCAUCACUUAGGACUACAUAAAAAAAAGACAUUUUUUGCUGAAUUAGGUGAAAAUCAGAAUUUGAUGUUCUUCUGAAAUUUCCAUAUAUUUUUUACUAUAGAAUUUGGCUGAAAUUUCAAAAUUGACAUUUAUUUUAUGCUUAGUAGACAAAGCUUGCAGCUCAUUUUAGAAAGCCUAAAUUUAGAUCAAUCAAAAUCAUAACCUAGAGGAAAUUUAGGUUAUAUUUUGGAAUAUCCUACUAUUGAAAAAGAUAAAAAGUUCUCAAUCUUUAGGAUCUAAACCAUCUCUCAUGGAUCUUAGGCCAAACCUAAUGAUUUAGGGGGGUGAGAAUCCUGAAAUCUAUAAACACGUGUGAUUAUUAUGCUCCUAAUUUAUAUAGACCUAUCUUGCAGGUUAGAGCUCCAAUUCAACCUAAUGUUCAAUUUGAUAUUCACCAUAACACUAUACAAAUGUCUCCUGAACUUAGAAGCUUAGUAAAUGAAGAAUCACAUCAACAUAUUGUUAGAUUUUUAGUUGUAUGUGAACUUAUUUAUAUUCCUGAUAUUCCUCAAGAUGUAUUGGGUUUAUCAUUAUUUCUAUAUUCACUUCAUUAUAAAGGUAGAGAUUGGAUAACAUUUUUACUUCAUGAGAUCACCACAUGGCUUGAAGGUAAGCAUUCAUUAAAAUUUUUUAUCUUGUAGGUAAAACUAUGCCUUGAGGAAGGCUAUUAUUUAAUUUACUUAAAAAUCAGAAGAAAAAUUUCAUGAAUCCUGGGAAAGAUUCAAGGAAGUUCAAAUGAGAUGUCCUCAUCAUGAAAUUGCCAAGUGACAAUUGAAUCAUGUGUUUUAUGAUGAUAUUUUGACCAACAUAAGAAUAUCAUUGAUGCAACAUGUGGGAGAACAUUUAUGAGCAAGGAUGAAGAUGAGAUUCAUACUCUUUAUGAGAAUUUGAGUGAGAAUUCAGUUGAACAUGAAUCUUUUUCUCUUUAUGAUCAUAAUGCUAAUGAAUAUAAGAGAAGAAUUUAUAAAGUGAGGAAUCAUGAUACAUCAGAUAUGAAGUUAGUGAGUUCAUCAUAAGCUUAAUAUUUUAUAUGAUCAUUUAUUGUAUAAAAAUGCGCAUACUCAUCUUUAGCCACAUGCUCCAUUUACUUCAUAUUCUUCAUGUUUAUCUUGUGGUAGAAAUGAUCAUUAUGAAUCUCAAUCCCUAAUUUAUUAGAUUAUGUAUUUAUUUCAGUUCAAGAGUAUCCUAAUGCCCUAAAUGAUUAUAGUUGGAGGAACUAUCCUAAUUUUUCUUGGAAAAAUAAGGAUAAUAGCUCUUAUCCUCAUGUACAAAAUCCUAAUUCUCAAUCAUUUUCUAAACCUUGUAAUUAUUUAGGCCUCCUUUCCAAAACUCAUCUAGUAAUAGACAACAAAAUUUAGGGUCUAGUUUUCAGCAAAAUUAUGUGUCAAAUUUUCAGAAAAAUUUAACACCUAAUUUCAGCCCAAAAAACCCUAAUUUAAAUCAAAAUCAAUAUGAUUUUUGUACUAAUUUUAUGUAACAAUGUAUGGGGCAAGUGAUGCAACAAUUUCAAGUCUCUAAUGCGAAAAUGAUGUAUUAAAAGAGUCAGCAAAUGACACUUAGACUUGAAAAGGAAAUUAAAAAAUUAGCAUUAUCUAAUUCAAAACCUGUAUCUAAUCAUCUUCCUAGUCAACCCAUUAAGAACCCUAGGAAUCAGUCUUCUAGUAGUCAUGAUGUAUCUACAUCUCAAUGUUUUCAAAAUGUUAAAGCUAACACUACUCUUAGGAGUGGAAAACAACUUCAUGAUAGUUUAGUUUUAGAUGAUGAGAAGGUAGAACAAGAAAAUCAGCAAACAAAAUAAGAGGAAAAUCAACACCUAGAUUAAGAGAAAAAUUUUAUUGAAAAACAACAAGAAACACUUAGAAAAGCAGUCUCAUUUCCUAAAGUAUUAAAGCCUAAAAUUAAUAAAAGAAUGGAACUUAAUGAAGAGCUUAUUGAGAUAUUUAGACAUGUUCAAAUUUCUAUCCCUUUAGUAGAUGCAAUUAAACAUAUAAAAGAAUGGAACUUAAUGAAGAGCUUAUUGAGAUAUUUAGACAUGUUCAAAUUUCUAUCCCUUUAGUAGAUACAUAAGUUAAAUUUUUGAAAGAUUUGUGCACACCUCGUAGGUCAUCUAAGAAGAUUUUAUUAUUUGAAGAGGCUAGUGCUAUUAUCUCUUUCUCUAAGCCUAGGAAAUUUAAGGUUCUAGGAGCUCCUUUCAUUUCAUGUCAAGUAGGAGAUAUCACUUUCAAAAGUGUUUUUCUAGAUUUAUGAGCACGUGUUAAUCUUUUACCAUAUGCUGUUUUUGAUCAUUUUGAUUUAGGAGAGUUAAAACCAAGUUUAGUUGAACAUCAAUUAGCUGAUAGAUCCAUUAAAACACCUAGAGUACUUUUAGAGUGUCAUAAUUAAUGUGAAAGGGUAAAGAUUUCCAAUUGAUUUUUUGAUUUUAGUCAUGCAUAUUUUAGAUGAUCUUACAUAUGCUCCUAUCAUUUUAGGAAGACUAUUUCUUGUAACAUUUGAUGUAAGUAUUGAUUGUGAAAAUUUAAUAUAAAAUCAGAGGGCCUAAAUAUUUCUUUAAAUAUUUUUAGAAGCUCUAAAUUUACUUUUGAACCAGAUGAUAAAGUAGAACAUAUAGAUGUGCUCAAAUCAUGUCUGAAAGAGAUGAAUAAUAUUCAUCACAUUGAUGAAUUCUUUGCUUGAUUUGAUAUUAAUGUUUUUAUAUUAUUAAUUUUUUGAGAAAGAACCAUUAGAUCAUAACAUAAUAUCUCUUUCAUCUUCUUUUGAAAUUCCUCCAAAAUUAGAACUUUAACUUGUUCCAAAUUCAUUGAAAUAUACUUUUCUCAAGCUUAAUGAAACUUUACCAGUCAUCAUUUCAUCUUUGUUGACUUUUGAUCCAGAAAACAAAACUUUUGAAGUUUUAAAAAAUCAUAAAAAGGCAAUAGGAUGGACUAUGGCUGAUUUCAAGGGAAUCAGCCAAUCAAUUUAUAUGCAUUGCAUAUAUAAUGAAGAAAAUACUAAACCAACUAACGAAAUGCAAUGUAGGUUGAAUUUCAAUAUGAAUGAAUUGGUGAAGAAAUAAAUAAUUAAAUGGUUAGAUGCUGAUAUUAUUUAUCUUAAUUUUGAGAACCAAUAGGUCUAGUUAAAAACAAAUGAACAAUAGUCCAUCCUAUUAAGAUGCAACCCAAAAAUUUUAUUUUUUGAAAUUUUAUUUUUUUCUUUGCUUAUAGUUUAUACGUUUAUUAUUUAAAUAAAUGAACAAUAGUUUUGAAUAAUUUUUACCCCUUAAGCAAUAUUUCUUCUUUUAAUUGUCUCAAAUUUUAUGUCUUAGAUAUUUAUUUCUUUGCUGAAUUCUAUGAGAUAUUAUUUCAUGUAAUUGAGGACAAUUUGGAUUUUUUGGGGAGGGGGGUAUGGAAAAUUCCAAUUAUCAUUAUUUAGGAGUAAUUUUAAAUUUUUUUUGUUUUUAUUUUAUGCUUUUAAGUGCAUGAUGCUUUUAUUUCAAUAAAGAUGGGUGCAAAGUAACAAGAAUAAUCAGGGACCAUCAUUCUAAACUUUACUUUCUAGAGAAGGGUAUAUUUUCUGAAUUAUUCAUGUUAUAUCAUUGAAAAAUUCGUUUAUUUUAUAUUGGGUGAAUGUAUAUAGAAAUUAUAACAUAUUCUUUCUAUUUUCACUCUAUAGAUGUUAAUAUCUUUUAUUGAAUGAAUUGCAGUAAAUUAUUAUCAUGCAACAUGCUAUGUUUUUAAAUGUUAUAUUUCAUGCAUGAGAAACAAAUCGAUAAGACUAUGAUACCAAAGGACACUAGGAUGAUCAUUUUUAGAUUAGGAAAAUAAUUAAAGAGCAUGAAAUGUUAGAAUAUUCCUUGGAUACAUGAUAGAUAAUAUAUAUUUAUUUUAUAGAUUUAUUUUUCUUGAUCUUGAUAGAUGGUAUUUGCUAUGAUGUGAGAAUUUGAUUAAUCAUUUGAGUUUGGUGGAGAUUUUCAUAUCUUGAUUCAUAGAAAUUAUGUUACAUAGCACUCAUCUUCAAAAAAAAUGAAGACAAAGAAGAAGAAAAAAAAAGAAAGAAAAGCUAGUGUGAAGGCCCAUAAAACAAGGAGUACACAAUUAAGGUGUGAGACAUCAUUCUACAUUGUUGAAAAUUGUCUAUGGGAAAUGCUGCCUACCUAUUGUCUUUUUUAUUAAAAAAAAGAAAAGGAGAAAUAAAAGAUGUAGUGUACACUUCAAUGUGGAGAUAUAUAGAAAAGGGCACUGUAGGAUGAAGACUAUUCUGAUUUGAAAGACUAUAAUUUGAACAUCUAGUGAAUUAAAUCUGCAGGUGAUAGAAUGAUAAAUUUUUUGACAAAAGAAGUGAAGUCUAGAAUUUUAUCCUAAUGAGUGUCUAAUCAUUAAAAUUACUUAGAAUUAUUUUCUCUAAUUUAACAUGAAAAUCUGAUGUAUCUAGAGGUUUACUAUUAUAGAAAUUUGAUCUCUUUGAAUGAAAAUAUGAUGUUUUCAAACAUGUUAGUCUUUAAUUAAUUUAUUUUCUCCAUUGGUAGGGACUAGUAAUAUUCAAGUUGGGGGUAUGAUAAUAUCUCAGUUUUUAGAUUCAAUUUGAGUUAAAUCAAUAAAAUGUUGCAUGAAUUUCAUUUAAAUAUGUUAUAAUUGUUUAAUAAAAUAUUUUAAAAUGUUUUCUUAUUUUUUGGUGAAUUUUAGUUAAUUUUUAGGUUUUUUUUUCAGGUUAAAAUUUGUUACACAUCAUUUUAUAAAAUAAAUAAAUAAGAAUUGAAUAUUUAUUUUGUAUGAUUAGAUUUAGCCAUUAGAUUGCCAUGUCACUUGAUCUGACAUUGUAGAGCAUGCCACAUAAUUUGGUUUUAAGUGGUGGAUUGGCAACAAUUUGAUACUUAUGUGAUCCUAAUUCGCCAUUAAGAUCAUCAAUCAAUUUUAAAUAUUUAUUGAACUAAGUUCACCUAAAAUAAAAUUACAAGUAAUAUUAGUGGUGAAUUAAGUCACCUCCUCAGGGGUGGAAUAAAAAAAAUCGUUUACUUAUCAAUCAAAAAUAAGUUUUACCAAAUAUCUAUAUUAUUGUGGGAAAAUAUUGAUUGGAAUGAUGAUUAAAAUUAAAUAAAAAUAAAAAUUAAAAUAAAAUUUAAAUGAAUAAGAUCAAAGGUAAAUAAAAUUUUACAUGAAAUAAAUAAUAUAGUAAAUAAAUAAAAUUUGAAAACAAGAGAAAAAUAUUUAGAUUUUGAAAGAAAUAAAUGAAUAUAAAUUGAAAGCAAUAAAAGCCUACAACCCUUAGUAUCUUUUAGUUCUCCUUGACCUCAAGGUAGAUCUCUCAUCUCAUGUCUAGUUCAAUAAAAUGGAUUUGGGCUGAUUGAUGUUGAUGAAAAGAAAAAAAUCCUCUCAUACAUCAAGUUGCUCAAAAUAAAAGAAAAAUAGGAAGGAAAACUAUUUCUAACCCUAGAACAUGAAAGAGAACUAUGAAAAACUCCACUCUCUUCCUUUUAUAUCCUUUUUUAUAUCCCAAUUCACAAAUCAAGCUUUUUCUUUUGAGUUGCCAUUUUUUGCCACAUAUUUCUGAUUUUUUCUUGAUUUUUCUGGAUUUUUUUGUUGUUACGUGCGACAAUAAUGGAUAUCAUCUAUUCUACCAGAUGAUCAUCUAUAUUUUUAAAUAUGCUCAACCACAAUCAUAUCGUGAUAUAUCUAAUUUAUCAGACAAUAACCAAUAUUUGCACAUGUCAUUGUCAUGUGGAAGGCUGAAAAUUAUUUGAUUAGUGCACCACCAAUUCAGAUCCAUUGGUGAUAGAUUGCUUGUAUGUCGUUGGAUGAGGCUGCCACAAUCUUUUUGCUUGCAUCUACUUUAUCAAGGACAUGAGAUGAUGGUUGGUGAUGUGGCUCAUCUUCGAGCAUCAAAUCCACACACCAUCGACCCACCAAAAGGAAGAGUGAUGUGGCUACAUAGUUGUUAGAUAGUUGUCCAUCCUCUCAUACCUUUAUCAGAAUUUGUGCAUUCCACUAGUAUGUGUGAUGAGGAUAGGCGAUGUGUCACCUCCUAGUGCAUCAAAUUGCUCUACUUUUAUAACUCUAGAUUUGAACUACAAUUAGUGCCCAUAAACUCAAUGCACAUGGCACUUUUAUGUUCAUCAGAUCUGUGACAUGAGAGUCAACUAUUAGAUGGGUGAGGUUUGGGGACUACAUAGGCCCACUAACUAGUGAGCCCAUUAAUCUAUUUUUUUAAUUUUUAUUUAAUUUAUAAAAUUUUUAGAAAAAAUUGAGUACAACAUAAUAAAACUUGAAUCAACAUGAAACAAAUAAGAUUUAUGUAUCAAACAUAUUAUUUCAUAAUAAAAUGACUCUUAUUAAGUUUUCUUUUUAAUUAUAAAAUAUUAUUUUAUAUCAAAAUGUAGAUAAAUUCAUUUAAAUGAUACAACAACUAUAUUAAUAUAAUAACUUGUGAAAUAAUGAUCAAAUAUAUAUUAUUCUCCUAAAUCUAAUAAAAAAUUAACAUGUAAUUUUCAUAAGUUAUCAUAUACUUGGAACAAACAAUCGAUUAUCUCGAAUUUUUCAAAAGCACCAUGUACCCCCUAAGUGUAAGUGACCGAUCUGACCUCACAAAGCAUAUUAAUUAGAUGACAGAGAAUGUGUCACAUGACCAAGGCACUUCAAUUUCACUAGGACAUAUCAAUAUUAAUUAAUUAUUUUUUGGUAAAAUUAACAUUAUUGAUUAUCGGGGGUGAAAUAAAAUGGUAGAGAGUUCGCCAAUAAUAGGUAUUCUAUCUUCUUCCUUUUCAUGUAGUCAUUACUUUUGGUGAUUAGUAAACCCUCCUUUUGACUCCUUCAACUGUACUUAGAGCCUCUAGCAAGUGGCCACAAGUCUUCCUUUCUCUUUAGAUUGUAGUGAACAGUGGUGUCAACCCCUCUUUUCAUAAAAUCCUUCUAGGGAGUAGUGUAAAGCUGCUAAAUGAUCUUCAUGUGUCUUUUGAUGUGGUGCAACAUGACUACACAAUACAAAGCCAUCAUGCUAGUAUCUCUUGCUACUCCAGGGGUGAACCCAUCAAAAGUGAACAUUAGUUUUAGAUUUAUUUCUUAUUUUAUUUCAUUUUUGUCACAAAUGAUAAUUUUUGGAUGUUUGCUAGAAAUAAUCAAAAGAACUCAUAAUUUACUUGAUAAAAAUGGCUUAUUUCUAUCCCAAAUCCUUCAUAACUCAUCUAGAAUUAUCUUACUAAUGAUUCCAAAUUAUUUUGCAUUGAUUUUCAUCUAGAAAUCCAUCUGAAAAUUCUUGCCAUUUUUUCAUGGUUGUGCAAUGUUUUUUUGGUGUUUUUCUACUGAUUUUUCUCUUAUUUCACAAUUUUUGAUUAUUUUUUGGUUCCAUUUUAAUCUUAUAUUCCUUAUUAGUUGGUAUGAAGUUGAUUCAAUGAUUUUUAGGCAUGAUUGUACUCUUGCUUUGCGAAUUCUCUCUUAUGUAUUCAUUUAUAAAUCAUGGUCAAUGUGGCAUAAUAUGGUGUGAGAUGUGUUGACCAUGACUUUCUCACUCUUAUUAUCAUUUAUUUUCUCUUUUCUUCUGUCCUCUUUUCUACCUAAAAUUCAUCUAAAAUCCCUUCUAAAUCCCACAUCUAUCUUCCAAAAAUUUAUCCAAAAGUCCUUUUGAAAUACCAUGUUUACCCCCAAAAAUUCUUCCCUCUAAUCCCUUUGAAAUCCCACGUUCAUCUCCUUCAUCUUUUCACUAUUUAUUAAAAAACCUAAAAAUUUUUAUUUUUAUUUUUUAAACUUGAAAACUUUUAAAAAUCUAGAAUCACUUAAAAAGUAAAAUCAAAAUUAAUAUUCAUGACAUAUUAUUCUUACUCUUUGUUUUUGACUUGAGACUAAUCGCUUUACUAAUUACUCUUUAAGUUUCAGUUAUAAAGUUUAUUAUAUUAUGGGUAUUUAACUUCAACAAAAAAUAUCCAUCACUAUUAGCUCUAGAAGAUAAUAUAUUAAAAUUUUCAGCAUAUUUUGUAAUAGUUUGAUUUAUGUGUUCAGUUUGAUAUUGUUGAUGUAAAAUUUGUUCAUUAUUAUAGGAAAAAAAAUCUAUAUUUCAACAUUUUCUUUAUUUUAUCCCAAUUUCAAAUUUGAUCUUUGCAUGAUCUUGCAUGAGUAGUUUGAGCCCAAUCCCACCAUAUAGAUGCCCCACCUCUGAGUUUAUAAGCACUUAUUCACCUCUUUUUCAUCACAAAGAUUCAUAUAUUCGGAAAACCCUUCAACUUUUGAAAUCCAAUCAAGAAACUCAAUUUCAAAUGACCAUUAAAAUUAGGUAAAUCAAUUUUCAUUUGAAAUCACUUGAAUCAUCAAAGUUAGAUCUACUUUUUGAGUAACAUACUUCAUUUGAAAAAAAAUUGCGUAGUAUGACCAAUAUAUUUUCUUUUUGAGUAGUUUGACAAUUAGAAUGAAAUUCUAUUGUAGACAUUCGAGUCAAAAUUUACCUCAAUGUGUCAUCAAAUCUUCAACUUUUGUUAACUAUGAUUUUGAAACUCUGAAAACUCUAUUUUUGAAAUUGAGCAUACUUCUAAACUUUCAGUUGUUUUGAUUUGUAACCCUUUUCCACAUGACAUCUUAUGAAUAUAAAAAUUUAGAAUGUUGACCUUGCACUAAUACCACUUGACAUAGUAGAAAUAAGAAGAAUUCCUUGAUUUGAUUUUGUUUGUGUCAUCUGAAUAAAAUAGAUCCAACACCACAUUUCUAAGUUCAUAAAAAACAUGAGUUCUAAGAGUUUUCCUUACCUUGAUUCCACAAAGAUUUGGAAACUCAUCCUUUGAGUUCACAAAGGUUUAGUCUUGAGUCCACAAAGCUAGAAGAUUCCUUUGAAUCCAUAGAGUAAGUUAGAAUCCACUAGUAGAGAAAAAUUUUAGAAAGGAAAGGAAUUUCAAAUUUUAUUGAUCAAAAUGUAGAAUGCCUCUAGGGAUACAUGAGAGGCCUUUUAUAUAGGCUGAAAAGAUAACUAAUUUACAAGGAAUUUGGAUCUCUAUAGAUCCUGAAGAAAAAAAAAAUGUUAAAAUAUCUUUAAAGUUCAAGAUGUUAUGUUAAGAAAAUAUUUACCUAAUUAUAAUUAUUGAAGUAGUUGGAAAUAGUCUUAAAGUUAAGUUAGGUUUUGUAACAAAUGUCUUUAACUACUUAGGAUUUGCUAAAAUUAGAAAAACAUGAAAGAAAAGAAUGAAUUUUGAGAUUUUAGACACAUUUAAUAUGUGCUAAAUCUAUUAUUUGGCCAAAAGGGUCUUCGUGGCUUAUGUUAUUCUAGGUCACUUGAAUUAGGCUGAAACUAAGCUACAUCAUUAACAAUUGAGAACAAGAAUAUCAAAAUUAUGAGAAAAUAUAUAAAUAACAUCAUGUAUCAAACUAAAUAUUUUACAACAUGAAAAUUAUAUUUUAAAAAUAAAAUAAAAUAAUAGAUAAAGUGCAAUAUAUUAAGAUAUGAAGUUUUCACAAAGAAAAUGUAAGUACUAAAUUUAGGAUAAGUACAUAAAUUAUUACAUAGAUCAAGCACAAUAAUAUGUCAAACACAAUAAGUCCAUACAUAUCCUAGUAUGUAAAUUUUAUAUUGUAGGUUAAAUUAGUCUAUGAAGUUGUUACCUUUACGAGCUUCAAUAGUUUUGAUGAUUACAAAAUGGGUAAAAUGGUCAAAUGAUAGUUUUCUCCAGCCAUAAUUUUUUAAUGACAUUAGAAAAAUAUUACCAAAAUAUUUUCAUAACCCUUAUAAUAUUCAUGUAUGAUUUACUCAAGUUGACCCCUCAAAUAAGUCAAUCUAUGAUCUUCUACAAGCUAAUCAACACUUGCAACGUAUUACACGAUAAUUGAGUUUUCCUGAGCAAUAAAGGUAGCAAAAAAAGUGAUUAUGAGAAAUUGUUUCAAAGGGUUCUUAUGGGGUGAUCCUGCAGCCAAAGAUCCACCUAAUCCAGCAAUGUGCAGCUUUUGUGGGUCGGAUAGCAUACCAGUUCUCAUCCUUUGAAUAUCUAUGAUGGCUCUUCAUUAGGAUAGAAGAAGCUCAUUCCUAGUUCACACUUGACUCUUAUGAAAGCUUAUGAAUAGAAACUUACAUAAUCAUAGAGCAUAUUUUUAGAAUGGGUCUUGAGAGCUCGGUGAUUUUAAUGAGCCUCAGGUGCCCCUGAUUUAAUCAAGCCUUGCAUAAUAAUAAGCCCCUCAACAACCCUAAGCUCAAGUUCCAUUUUAUGAGCAAGCCCAGGCUCAUCCAGGAGAAAAGCAUCAACGAGAGGAGGCUGGNNNNNNNNNNNNNNNNNNNNNNNNNNNNNNNNNNNNNNNNNNNNNNNNNNNNNNNNNNNNNNNNNNNNNNNNNNNNNNNNNNNNNNNNNNNNNNNNNNNNNNNNNNNNNNNNNNNNNNNNNNNNNNNNNNNNNNNNNNNNNNNNNNNNNNNNNNNNNNNNNNNNNNNNNNNNNNNNNNNNNNNNNNNNNNNNNNNNNNNNNNNNNNNNNNNNNNNNNNNNNNNNNNNNNNNNNNNNNNNNNNNNNNNNNNNNNNNNNNNNNNNNNNNNNNNNNNNNNNNNNNNNNNNNNNNNNNNNNNNNNNNGAGAGAGAGAGAGAGCCCCUUUCUCGCUUCCCCACCAAAGCGUACAAACGUUUGCAACCAGCGUUUUCUUGCUAAGCACUUCAUCGGUUUGGGCUCGUCGCUGUCGUCCUCUCUGCCUAAUGAGAAGUACCCGAAUUGAAUAUCCCAUUCUCGCCGUCCUUUGCUACAACCGAAUCUCCAUUUUCAUGCACCAGUGGGGAAUCUAAUAAUCCGCCGUGUUGAAUCAUCCCGUUGACUCGGCGGCUUAUCUUUCGGGGAAUGGGACGGGAAACCCCCGCGUGGCAGUUCCUCAACGUAUUAAUGGUCCUGAGAAGUCUCAACGUUCUCUACCGCUAAUAGGGUCUUGCCACCGUGAUCUUACGGUGGGCCCGAUUGUCCCGUUCAAACGCGUGUAGUUGACUUACGCUGCCUGUUUGUCAUAGUGACGUGAAGACUAUGGAAUAGCUUUGACCCACCUAGGGGUGUGGCCUGUCCGUUGAAAUCGUAUCCAAAGGUCAAUGCAUUUAUGGUACUUCCUAUUUAAUAUUGUAAAAAGGAAAAUAUUUUAUAUUAUUUUCAAGCAUAAAUUUUUUACGGGCAUAUUAAAUCUCCCGAAAACAUUCCAACAGAGAAAAAAACCAUACUACCUACUGUAAUUUUUGGUCUAAAUCCAAUCCUUAUGUGGGUGGGUCUGAAAAGGAGAAGUAAGAACCAUAUCUAUGUCAUGCGUGCGUAUAUAAUUAUACAUAAAAUGUUUAAAUAACUAACUCAGCAGUCGUCGAGCCCAGAAGCAAGCAACAUCGAUCAAGUCUAUCAUGACAGAGGAGUUUUUAUUGAUCGAAAGGAAAUGUGCAUGCGAGAGGAGUCACCGGCAGAUGGGUUCAGGAGGAGAGCUCUAU
rnacentral:lncRNA from 1 species